rnacentral:tRNA from 1 species
GCCGGGGUGCCCGAGCGGACCAAGGGGGUGGGCUCGAGACCCACUGUCCUUCGUGGGACACACGGGUUCGAAUCCCGUCCCCGGCG